UUAAGCGACUAAGCGUACACGGUGGAUGCCCUGGCAGUCAGAGGCGAUGAAGGACGUGCUAAUCUGCGAAAAGCGUCGGUAAGGUGAUAUGAACCGUUAUAGCCGGCGAUGUCCGAAUGGGGAAACCCAGUGCAAUUCGUUGCACUAUCGUUAACUGAAUACAUAGGUUAACGAGGCGAACCGGGGGAACUGAAACAUCUAAGUACCCCGAGGAAAAGAAAUCAACCGAGAUUCCCCCAGUAGCGGCGAGCGAACGGGGAGCAGCCCAGAGUCUGAAUCAGCUUGUGUGUUAGUGGAACGGUCUGGAAAGUCCGACGGUACAGGGUGAUAGUCCCGUACACCAAAAUGCACAGGCUGUGAACUCGAAGAGUAGGGCGGGACACGUGGUAUCCUGUCUGAAUAUGGGGGGACCAUCCUCCAAGGCUAAAUACUCCUGACUGACCGAUAGUGAACCAGUACCGUGAGGGAAAGGCGAAAAGAACCCCGGCGAGGGGAGUGAAAAAGAACCUGAAACCGUGUACGUACAAGCAGUGGGAGCACCUUCGGGUGUGACUGCGUACCUUUUGUAUAAUGGGUCAGCGACUUAUAUUCUGUAGCAAGGUUAACCGUAUAGGGGAGCCGCAGGGAAACCGAGUCUUAACUGGGCGUUAAGUUGCAGGGUAUAGACCCGAAACCCGGUGAUCUAGCCAUGGGCAGGUUGAAGGUUGGGUAACACUAACUGGAGGACCGAACCGACUAAUGUUGAAAAAUUAGCGGAUGACUUGUGGCUGGGGGUGAAAGGCCAAUCAAACCGGGAGAUAGCUGGUUCUCCCCGAAAGCUAUUUAGGUAGCGCCUCGUGAAUUCAUCUUCGGGGGUAGAGCACUGUUUCGGCUAGGGGGUCAUCCCGACUUACCAACCCGAUGCAAACUACGAAUACCGAAGAAUGUUAUCACGGGAGACACACGGCGGGUGCUAACGUCCGUCGUGAAGAGGGAAACAACCCAGACCGCCAGCUAAGGUCCCAAAGUCAUGGUUAAGUGGGAAACGAUGUGGGAAGGCACAGACAGCCAGGAUGUUGGCUUAGAAGCAGCCAUCAUUUAAAGAAAGCGUAAUAGCUCACUGGUCGAGUCGGCCUGCGCGGAAGAUGUAACGGGGCUAAACCAUGCACCGAAGCUGCGGCAGCGACACUAUGUGUUGUUGGGUAGGGGAGCGUUCUGUAAGCCUGCGAAGGUGUGCUGUGAGGCAUGCUGGAGGUAUCAGAAGUGCGAAUGCUGACAUAAGUAACGAUAAAGCGGGUGAAAAGCCCGCUCGCCGGAAGACCAAGGGUUCCUGUCCAACGUUAAUCGGGGCAGGGUGAGUCGACCCCUAAGGCGAGGCCGAAAGGCGUAGUCGAUGGGAAACAGGUUAAUAUUCCUGUACUUGGUGUUACUGCGAAGGGGGGACGGAGAAGGCUAUGUUAGCCGGGCGACGGUUGUCCCGGUUUAAGCAUGUAGGCUGAUUGUCCAGGCAAAUCCGGAUAAUCAAGGCUGAGGUGUGAUGACGAGGCACUACGGUGCUGAAGUAACAAAUGCCCUGCUUCCAGGAAAAGCCUCUAAGCAUCAGGUAACAUCAAAUCGUACCCCAAACCGACACAGGUGGUCAGGUAGAGAAUACCAAGGCGCUUGAGAGAACUCGGGUGAAGGAACUAGGCAAAAUGGUGCCGUAACUUCGGGAGAAGGCACGCUGGUGUGUAGGUGAAGUCCCUGCGGAUGGAGCUGAGACCAGUCGAAGAUACCAGCUGGCUGCAACUGUUUAUUAAAAACACAGCACUGUGCAAACACGAAAGUGGACGUAUACGGUGUGACGCCUGCCCGGUGCCGGAAGGUUAAUUGAUGGGGUUAUCCGUAAGGAGAAGCUCUUGAUCGAAGCCCCGGUAAACGGCGGCCGUAACUAUAACGGUCCUAAGGUAGCGAAAUUCCUUGUCGGGUAAGUUCCGACCUGCACGAAUGGCGUAAUGAUGGCCAGGCUGUCUCCACCCGAGACUCAGUGAAAUUGAACUCGCUGUGAAGAUGCAGUGUACCCGCGGCAAGACGGAAAGACCCCGUGAACCUUUACUAUAGCUUGACACUGAACAUUGAGCCUUGAUGUGUAGGAUAGGUGGGAGGCUUUGAAGCGUGGACGCCAGUCUGCGUGGAGCCAACCUUGAAAUACCACCCUUUAAUGUUUGAUGUUCUAACGUUGGCCCCUUACCGGGGUUGCGGACAGUGUCUGGUGGGUAGUUUGACUGGGGCGGUCUCCUCCCAAAGCGUAACGGAGGAGCACGAAGGUUAGCUAAUCCUGGUCGGACAUCAGGAGGUUAGUGCAAUGGCAUAAGCUAGCUUGACUGCGAGCGUGACGGCGCGAGCAGGUGCGAAAGCAGGUCAUAGUGAUCCGGUGGUUCUGAAUGGAAGGGCCAUCGCUCAACGGAUAAAAGGUACUCCGGGGAUAACAGGCUGAUACCGCCCAAGAGUUCAUAUCGACGGCGGUGUUUGGCACCUCGAUGUCGGCUCAUCACAUCCUGGGGCUGAAGUAGGUCCCAAGGGUAUGGCUGUUCGCCAUUUAAAGUGGUACGCGAGCUGGGUUUAGAACGUCGUGAGACAGUUCGGUCCCUAUCUGCCGUGGGCGCUGGAGAAUUGAGGGGGGCUGCUCCUAGUACGAGAGGACCGGAGUGGACGCAUCACUGGUGUUCGGGUUGUCAUGCCAAUGGCACUGCCCGGUAGCUAAAUGCGGAAGAGAUAAGUGCUGAAAGCAUCUAAGCACGAAACUUGCCCCGAGAUGAGUUCUCCCUGAGACUUUAAGUCUCCUGAAGGAACGUUGAAGACGACGACGUUGAUAGGCCGGGUGUGUAAGCGCAGCGAUGCGUUGAGCUAACCGGUACUAAUGAACCGUGAGGCUUAACCUU
rnacentral:rRNA from 1 species